GUGACAGAGAAAUUUACGUCAAUGUGCAUGAUUGAAAAGAAUAGGUGCACCUCUUGAUGUUAAUCAGUCUUCUGAUACGUGUUAUUUCUAUUGUGAUUCCGGACUUAGUAAUAUUGUUAAAGUAGAAAUAUAUAACGAUAAGUGCGUGUUUUUCUCACUGGAAUCUGGAUGUUUAUAAGAAAAUUAAUGAUGCAUAUAAUACAAAAAAUGAAAGUGGCAUUACUUGUUUGUCUUUUCGGUACAUUUAGCGCUGCAAAUGAAGCAAAAUGUAGCAAGCAAGGAUACGGCGGACCAAAUUGUACUUUCGAAUGUCCUUCAAAUUGUAUGUUUCCGUCAGAGAAUGACACAGACACCUGUAAUUAUACAACGGGAGAAUGCUUGCACGGCUGCAAUCAAGGUUAUGCUGGACAAAACUGUUCUGUUGAAUGCCCACAAAACUGUGCCCCUUCUGGCAACAGCGGUGACGAGCUAUGUAGUGCUACGUUUACACAGUGUUUAUUUGGAUGCAAUGAGGGAUUUUAUGGGCCAAACUGCACAAACUAUUGCACUGACAAAGACAGCAACUGCAAACGGUGCACUGAAAACGAUGGAAACAGUGGAGUGGUAUGCAACGAAUGCAGUAAAAAUUUCUACCGAGGCAGUGGUAAAUGUAUACAGUGUAGCUACUGGUGUCAAAAAUUACCGAGUCCUUCACCACAGUGCAGGGAAAAUGAUGGAUAUUGUAACUACGGGUGUAAAAAUAGCCGUUUUGGUUUUAAAUGUGGUUCACGCUGUAGCAACACCUGUGAGAGUAGUUGUCACAGAGAUAGUGGAAAAUGUGAUGGAUGCAAAUAUACUAGUUACUGUGGACCAACUUGUGAAAUCGCUUGCCAAGAUGGAUGUGCAUUACAGCAAUGUAAUCAGUCUUGUGAUUGUAUAAAAGGAUGUAAUAUUGAUAGAUGGGGGAGGAAAUGCGUUAACCAGUGUAGUGAAAACUGUUUCAGACCUCAAGAUGUUGACUCUAGAAUAUGUAAUCAUAGUGACGGGACUUGUCUGUAUGGAUGUAAAAACAAUAAAUAUUGGGGUGACGAGUGCGAUGUUUCUUGCUCCGAUGGUUGUUUAAACGGAACAUGUCAGCAGGAAUCUGGAAACUGCACGGUAGGAUGCACAAGUAAGACUGUACAUGGCUUGCGUUGUGAUACUGUAUGCAGUGAAAAUUGUCUAAAUGGUACGUGCGAGAGAGCCGAUGGAUACUGCGAUGAUGGAUGUAAUAUUGGAAGCUAUGGCGAACGCUGCGAUAUAACAUGUAACAGAAACUGCAUUAGUGGCAAAUGUAAGAGAGAAAAUGGAUUUUGUGAUAACGGCUGUGAAGCUGGCAACUACGGAGAUCAGUGCGAUUUAGGUUGCAGUUACAAAUGUUUGAAUAAUAGAUGUAAAAGGACAGACGGUAACUGUACUGAUGGGUGUAUAUCGGGAUACGAAGGACCGUUCUGCGAAAAGGUCGAUGAAGCUAACAUAAUAUAUUAUUAUAUAGAAGAAACCUCAGUAGUAAACAAAACACUGGUUGGCGUUGCUGUGAGUGCAUGGUUGUUGCUCCUAGUAGUACUUGCUGUCAAAGUAAUAAGGAGGCGAUAUCAUAUCAAACGAAAAGAGACGGCGAAUGAGGAAAGGAUACCGCCAGUUAGGGACCAGUACGAAUGUAUGACUUCACAGCGCGAACAAAGGGAUACAGCUGACGCGGCAAACUAUGAAGUGUUAGCGCAUGAAGGAGGGAAAAACCGAGACAACUUUUUGUGAUACAACAUGGAUGGUACGUCCAAUAUUUAGAUGUAUUCUAACAUUACUUUACCUGGUAAGAUUUUUUUUUGGAAUUUCUUCUUUUUGUUGUUCCUGUCCUUUGGGCUUCAACAGUCAAGUUCUUUAAAUUUUGCUUCCAUUCUCUGAUGUAACCCUUCGGACGUAUAUUGCCCCGCUUGGCGGCGCUCUUGUUUCAUAUUAAAUGGCAUAACGAAAAGCUGUUGAACCCUUAUAAAGUUACAAAUGUAUAUACAUGCAUGCAGGUGCAUAUCAAACUCCAAAAUACAAUGUUUAAUUUAGCUUUUUGUCAUUUCUAAUUGUUGGAUAUACAUUUCACAUUCUAUUGUAUCAAAUUUUCUGUAAACCAAGUAAUCAUCAUUGAGUACAAAAAUUAGUUUAGCUAAUAAGCCAAAACAUAAAUAUCUGAGGUAACAUUUCUUAAUGUUGUAAAUGUUUUAAAGGAAGUUAUGCAUUGUAUUCUGUUUUGACACACUAAUUAGUAAACUUUCUAGAUAGACGUCAGCACAACCUUUAAAUUGUCAGUGUAAAAGAUAAUGGUAAGGGUAGAUUUCCCGGAAGCACAGAGCACCCCAAACACAACCAUAGAGCAAUGUAUCGCAAAAAAGGGCCCACAACAAAAGAAGCUGAACGGAAAAAUAUUGUAGACGGAUUGCUUCAAAAGUCCAUCAACAAGUACAUUAUACACAUAUGCAAAAUACAGAAAAUGUGGGCUGGGUGGUAAGGGGUAGAUUAAAGGGUCGGAUGUUGGGGAAGGUGGAGAAACGAUGAAUAUUAGAUAGGGAGAGCCACGCCUAUUAAUUAAACGUAGUAUUCCUACAACGUCGCAGACACGCACGCACAAAAGACAAACACACACAUACAGCCAACACAAUUACACAAGCAAGAAAACAGAUCACUGUGGGGCACCGCCCAUGACACACACACUCACACCCACACACACACACAAGAGAGUGAAAGCAGAAGAAAUCGCGAGGGACGGUAAUUCUGUGGGGAGUAUGGAUGGUGAAUGGAUUCGUUCGGAUUGAGCGGGAGGGAGGGAUAUUCUAAAGCAAUAUCGAGAGAAAACAUACUUUGAAAGUUAAACAAACUUGGGAGAUGUAAGUUAUCUACAUGAAGGAUACUGUUGAGGGAUACUGGGAGACAAUAUCAUGAAACACAAGAAACUGAAAGAGAAGGAAAUGUUAUAUUUGUAGGUGCACAUAGAUGGGGCAGACAAACAGACUGAUACAUAGAAGUUUAUAAAUAGCAUUUGAAUAUCCUCCUUGCACUUCGCGAGUGAUAACAAAAAGACUUCAAGACAGACAAAAUUCGAAGGACUAAAUAUAGAGGAAAAUAAUUAGUGAGCAUUUUCACCCUAGUAAUUAUUACUUACUGCACGUGCGUAGCGUUGGGCUAAUAAUGGUUGCCUAAGUUUGGUGCCGU
rnacentral:misc_RNA from 1 species